CCUACGGGGGGCAGCAGUCGAGAAUAAUUCACAAUGGGGGAAACCCUGAUGGUGCAACGCCGCGUGGAGGAUGACGGUCUUCGGAUUGUAAACUCCUGUCAUCCGGGAGUUAGUACCGGAAGAGGAAGGGACGGCUAACUUCGUGCCAGCAGCCGCGGUAAUACGAAGGUCCCAAGCGUUGUUCGGAAUCACUGGGCGUAAAGGGUGCGUAGGCGGUUUGGUAAGUCAGAUGUGAAAUCCCGGGGCUCAACCCCGGAACUGCAUCCGAUACUGCCAGACUUGAGGACUGGAGAGGUGACUGGAUUCCGGUGUAGCAGUGAAAUGCGUAGAGAUCAGAGGAACACUCGUGCGUAAGCGAGUCACUGGACGUUCUGACGCUGAGGCACGAAGGCCAGGGUAGCGAAAGGGAUUAGAUACCCUUGUAGUC
rnacentral:rRNA from 1 species